GUCGAGCGCGGGAAGCGAGCGGAUCCCUUCGGGGUGAAGCUCGUGGAACGAGCGGCGGACGGGUGAGUAACACGUGGGCAACCUGCCUGUAAGAUCGGAAUAACCCCGGGAAACCGGGGCUAAUGCCGGGUAAUACUUUCUUUCGCAUGAAGGAAAGUUGAAAGAUGGCUUCUUGCUAUCACUUACAGAUGGGCCCGCGGCGCAUUAGCUAGUUGGUGAGGUAACGGCUCACCAAGGCGACGAUGCGUAGCCGACCUGAGAGGGUGAUCGGCCACACUGGGACUGAGACACGGCCCAGACUCCUACGGGAGGCAGCAGUAGGGAAUCUUCCGCAAUGGACGAAAGUCUGACGGAGCAACGCCGCGUGAACGAUGAAGGUCUUCGGAUCGUAAAGUUCUGUUGUUAGGGAAGAACAAGUACCGUGCGAAUAGAGCGGUACCUUGACGGUACCUAACGAGGAAGCCCCGGCUAACUACGUGCCAGCAGCCGCGGUAAUACGUAGGGGGCAAGCGUUGUCCGGAAUUAUUGGGCGUAAAGCGCGCGCAGGCGGUUCCUUAAGUCUGAUGUGAAAGCCCACGGCUCAACCGUGGAGGGUCAUUGGAAACUGGGGAACUUGAGGACAGAAGAGGAGAGUGGAAUUCCACGUGUAGCGGUGAAAUGCGUAGAUAUGUGGAGGAACACCAGUGGCGAAGGCGACUCUCUGGUCUGUUUCUGACGCUGAGGUGCGAAAGCGUGGGUAGCAAACAGGAUUAGAUACCCUGGUAGUCCACGCCGUAAACGAUGAGUGCUAGGUGUUAGGGGGCUUCCACCCCUUAGUGCUGAAGUUAACGCAUUAAGCACUCCG
rnacentral:rRNA from 1 species